AAGAUGCCCUUUUGCCGAGUGACCUCCUGGGAUGCUGGUCCCGAGGCUGUGGGCAGAGUUCAAUACCAAAGGCAGUGCCAGCCCCCUAAUUGGGCACACUGAUAGUGCUUUUCCUGGAUUACCUUUGCACCCAUGUGACUAAGCUUUCCCAACAAAGCAUGCGAGCAAUUAAGGAGCUGAAGCCUCAUUAAACAAACAAGCCCACAAAAGGGCUUGUGACAGGUAGUGCUGGUGUCUCCAGCACAAUUACCCGAUAAACAUAAGGCUUUGGAAAAAUCCAGCUUGGAAAGGCCCCCAGGAAACAGUGGUGGAGACCGAUGCCUCCUCAGCUCCUGGACAGAGGGCAACUGAUGACCAGAGCUGCUAAUUGUUGCAGGAAGAGGAAGAGACAGGCAAUCAAUCACUUGUGUGGUGCCCAAGCCCCAUUAAAUGUUUUAGAUGCCCAGCACCCCACAGUAACAGUCUCCUUACCAGAUGCAGAAGGGAAAGAAAACAAAGAAUAAAAAGAGAACAGGGAAAUUCUUGAGAUUCUUUCCAAUGGAAAAAAUGCCUCCACUUAUCACUCAGUGUCAACAGCAGCAGACACCUGUGUUUAAACACCCAGCCACAGUGGCAAGCCAAAAGGCCAGCACUAAUGUGACAGUGCUGGAUUUUGGAUGUCAGAAGAUUAACUGGUGCUGAGCAUGUGCUGGUCAGUGUUGCAGAGACAGCACUGAGCAGCUUCCACCAUGUGGGAGGUUAAGUGUGAAAUGCUGAGUGUCUUCUCCCCUGCACCCUCAAGGUGAUGAGCAAGGAGCAGAUCAGCUGAGGAGGAACAAAGGAACACUUGGAGACAAGGAGAUGUGUUUUCACAUUGUUUCUCAGCUGAGAUUGGAGGAGAAAGGGCAGAGCCCGAGCUUCUGUGUAACAUGGUGAUCUGCCAAGAGCAGUGGCAGCUGGGAACUGCAUGGCUCAGGAGUCUGGGUAAUGGGCUAUGCAAGUCCUUCACCUCUGGGCUCAGUGUUCAUCCAGGCACUGGCCAGCAGUGAGGAAAUAAUGUUGCUGUGCAAAUAAAAGGACUUGCUGCUUCUCUAAUAAGCCCUGUUCCUGCUGUGGCUCCUAGUAAGUGCUUAGGGAGCCAAGAACUUGUUCUGGCAAGACUGUUGUUGCUCUGUUGAAAAUUACCAGGACAAAUGGCCCCAAUUAAACCAGCUGAAACUGGUGUGCCCUUGUGACCUGGGCACACAGAUGUCUUCUCCUCUGUUUGCUGCCAGAUGAGGAAAUGUGUGUGCUCAAGAGAACUGAUGGGCUGGAUAUCAAAAAGCACUAACCGGCUGAGCUGGCGAGGCAAGUAGUGAAUGGAGGAGUGUUCACAUGGGCAGAUCAAACCUUGUCAGUUGUAGCUGGGAGUCUGGAGAAUACUCCAAGAUUCCAACCAAGUCCCUGAUGGUCCUUUUGUGGGAAAAAAGAUUACUUUCAUCAUCAAAUGUUGAUGGAAACCACUUCACACUCUUGUUACUGGUACCUUAUCAAACUGUUGUGUGGGAUCCUGGAGAAAUCUGCUCCCAAGAUGGACAAUUUCCUAGCUGAAGGACCAGCUGGCUUGAAGUUCAGAAAGAGGGUGGUAUAAAGACCUUUUGCUAUUCAGGAGAGCACCAGGGAGUGCUGAGAAGGUGGCAUAUGCCUUUGGUGACUUUGUAGGCAUCAAUGGUGACAAGGCAUAAACCUCCCUGAGC